CAGCAAUGAGGUGUGGCUGUAGCCCAGGAAUAGUCAGGGAAGCAGAUAAUUUAAAUUUAGUUAAAGUGUCUCGGCCUAAUAAGGGAACAGGGCAGGUGGGGAUAACUAAAAAGGAGUGCUUAAAAGAGUAUUGUCUAAGUUGGCACCAGAGUUGAGGAGUUUUAAGAGGUUUAGAAGCCUGGCCGUCAGUACCUGCAAUAGUUACGGAGGCAAGGGAAACAAGCCUUUGAAAAGAAGGUAAUGUGGAGUGGGUUGCCUCUGUAUUGAUUAAGAAGGGGACAGACUUACCCUCCACUGUGAGAGUUACCCAGAGCGUCUGUGAUGGUCCUGUAGGCUUUUGAGGCGAUCUGGCAGUGUCAGUCUUCAGCUGCUAAGCUGAGAAGAUCUGGGAAGGAGUCAGAGAGCCUUGGGCCAGAGUUCUAGGGGCCCUGAGAGUGGCUGCCAGGGCACCGUGUCCAGCAGUGAGGCCACACCGGUUUGGGACGGCCAGAAGAUGGAAGUGCUCACACCUGACUUCUGGUCAGGCUGCUGCUCAGCAGGAGGCACGCAGAAGCUGCCGGGGAAAGCCUCUCCCAUCUGUGCGGCAAAAGGAGAGCAGCUGGCCCGAGAGUCCCUCUGCAUAAUGCAAUUACUCACAAUGUAGGGCUGGCAAGAUGAUCAAAGGAGGUGCGGUGUGACUCGCAAGCUGGAGAGACGGGAAAGCCUGCUCCUGAUGUGGAAAGCAUCAUUAUUAUCCCCCACUGCAGACAGCCACAGAGCGCUGGAGCUGGGAGGAACCUUCCAGAUCCCUCAGGGGCUGGACUGCUUAUCUCCACAGCAGCAGCCCCGCACCUCUGAGGCAACAAAGCUAGAAGCUGUCAUUUCAAGUGGAGAAACGCAGGCGCAGAAAAGAACCUGGAACUAGCAGCUGUUUUGGCAGCCAGAUGAGAUGCCCCCUGGGAGAGCCAUGCCUCUUGUGGAAAGGGCCUGCUCCUCCUCACCUUCAGGAAGUUCUACUAAAAUUCAGUAAUCUUACUAGGCAGUAAGAUUCAGGACAUAGGCAUGGGCAAGGACUUCAUGUCUAAAACACCAAAAGCAAUGGCAACAAAAGACAAAAUUGACAAAUGGGAUCUAAUUAAACUAAA
rnacentral:lncRNA from 1 species